CCCCGCCGUCUCCGCAGCCGCCUCCGCCGCCCGGGCGCUGCCUGGAGCCAGUGUGCGGAUGGAGUCUCUCUCUGUCACCCAGGCUGGAGUGCAGUGGCGCAAUCUUAGCCCACCGCAACCUCUGCCUCCCGGGUUCAAGCAAUUCUCCUGCCUCAGCCUUCCGAGUAGCUGGGAUUACAGGGUCUUGCUCUGUCACCUAGGCUGGAGUGCAGUGGUGUGAUCACAGCUCACUGGAGCCUCGACCUCCUGGGAUCAAGCGAUUCUCUCACCUCAACCUUUGAACUUCUAGAUAAGUGGUUCUCAAAGUGUGGUCCUUCAACCAACAGCAUCAUCACCACCCAGGAACUUAUUAGAAAUGGAAGUUCUUGCACCCUGCCAAAACCAGAAACUGCGGAUGGGUCCCAGCAAUCUUUAUUUUAACGACUGUUAAAAUCAGAAUCAAGUGAUUCUGAUGCAAACUUAAGUUUGAAAACAUUGUUCUAUUAAAAGUAAUGGCAAAAACCGCAAUUACUUUUGCACCAACCUAAGAGCUCUGCACUGUUCAAUAUGGUAGCUUCUAACUAUUGAAUUUUUUAAUGCUAUUAUCUCCUUUAUUCAAAAAUAAAUAUUUCACUUUGAUUCAACAUAUUUCAAAUUACAUUAAGCACAGAGAGGAAAUACAUUCCCUUUGGAGAUUGUGAACACGUGUUGGAAAGAGGCAUGAUCCAAAUAAUGGGGAUGAGGUGAGUGUGGAUUCCAGCUGCUUCCUGACCCAGAAGUUCUGCCCCUCUUCAGGUGGAGCUACUUAUCGAUUUUUAGGCGAGA
rnacentral:lncRNA from 1 species